AACGCAUAUUGCGCUCGAAGCCCCGGCUUAGAGCAUGUCUGCCUCAGCGUCGAUGUAUCUCUCACCCCACCUCUCCCCGGAGGCGUGCGGGUGGACCUGGUGGUCCCGGCGAGCUUCGGUUCGGCGGGUACACUGAAGAUGCGAGGCUACUUCAGGACCGUCAUGGGCCGCAUCCAGGUUGGUAGCUCCCGCUCCAUAUUUGGAUGCUGGCUUGGUCUUGGCUUGUGCCUUCAAGCGGGAACCUCUUACAUUUUCGACCUGAGCUCAGGCAAGAACACCCGCUGAACUUAA
rnacentral:misc_RNA from 1 species